rnacentral:tmRNA from 1 species
UAAAUGUGGAGGACAAAUUAUAAAAAUCCUUGAAAUAUACAAUAAGUGGUUGCUAAUUCAUUCAUAGGCUAAAUUGCUGGUUAAUCGGUGGACCUUUUUAAUUUCAAACGAUAAUUACGCUCUAGCUGCUUAAGUGCCGCUAGCAUCCUGUCUUCUGAACCUACGGUGAAGGGCCAGGGUGUCAAAACAGUAGGUCGCUCUAACUGCAAUGCUCGGAGUUGUUAGAAAAGAUGAUCGAGCUAGCCUAAAAUGAGUCCUUGCCUUUAGGAGUCACGACUGGCGAAACUUAAAAUAAAGGAUACACGCGUAGACGCUUAUGUGGCAGCUCUUCGAUACAGGGGUGCAAAUCCCCUCGCCUCCACCA